UUUUGUGGCGUUAAUGUGUUAUUACAACAAUGCCCCCAUCAUUAAUGAAAUUCCAAUUAUGCCCUUCCCUUAUUUUUCAUUUUCUUGCUUUCACUCUCAAUUAUCAACUGCUCACCAUCACUCAUUUCUUCUCUAUCUCUCUCCUCACUAUCGCUAUCUAUUUCCAUUAAAGCGUGCUCCUGGGUUUCCAAAAGGAUUGAUCGAAAACGGGUGGCGAUCUCGACAAUGAUGUUGGUGCUUGUUUUACAAUGGUUAUUAUCGAGGAAAUCGGACUUAAACGCCCUACCGAUCCUGGUUCGGUUCAUUUCCUUUUGUUUUUUUUUCUUCAGGUUUAAACAUUGAUUUUGUUCAUUCUUAAUGUCUAAUUGAGGUGGCUAAUUGGGAUUUUUAGGGAGUAAAUUGAAAAUUGAUGCGUUUAAUUCACCAAUCAAGAGCAAAUUAAGGUUUAUUUUUUCAAAGUUCGCAACAUCAAACAAACAUCUAGCAUGUAGAUAGCCGCACAUGCACCAACCUGCUGUAGCAAUUGCCUAGCAGGCAAACCAGCCUAGCAGCCUCUAGCCACAAGACGCAGCAUAUUUGAGUAAUUUAAUUUCUAACUUAACUCGGGAUGUAAAGUACAUGGAAGUGAGAUAUAUAUAUUGAAGACAGAGACAAAGAGUUGCUCUAUAUUAGAGCUUUAGAUUUUCUAUUCUUUAGAUGUUACAAUCCCUUCCUCGUGUACUGAAUUAUAUACAAACAAUUAGUAGUAUUGGUAAUGUACUAAAUUGUGAAUCUACUUAGGAUCUUAAGGGUAUAGAUACAUUAUGUACUGAUAUUUCAUUAAAUAUUGUUUUUGGGAUUUUGAUGAGUUUACAGGCAUUAUGUUAUAAAAUCAAUUUUCAUCUAUAUUGAUG